rnacentral:piRNA from 1 species
UGAAGUCAGGGCCAUGCUUGUCAGCUUA